UACGGAGGAUGCAAGCGUUAUCCGGAAUUAUUGGGCGUAAAGCGUCCGUAGGUGGUGUUUCAAGUCUGCCGUCAAAGCAUGGAGCUUAACUCCAUAAAGGCGGUGGAAACUGAGAGACUAGAGUACAGUAGGGGUAGCAGGAAUUCCCAGUGUAGCGGUGAAAUGCGUAGAUAUUGGGAAGAACAUCGGUGGCGAAAGCGUGCUACUGGACUGAAACUGACACUGAGGGACGAAAGCUAGGGUAGCGAAAGGG
rnacentral:rRNA from 1 species